GAAAAACAACACUUUAACACAAUUAGUUUAUUUAAUAGUUUUAAUAACGUAAGUUUUCAGUGAGCGGGAGUUUCUUUUUCUUUAAUCUUCAUCGACUAGCAGACUGAAUGCCGGUGACACCGCUGGAGGCUAACAGGAUUGUUGGUUGCUAACAUUAGCCAGCUAGCUUUAGCUCCGGAGUUUGUCGUACCUCUUUGAGUGUGUGAUAACCGCCGUCCUCCCAACAGACACCGGACCGGAUGAUUCCUCCGGAGCUGUGAAGUGAACCCGGCCGACCAGAGAGGUGAAAGACGGCAUUUCAGGAGCCUGAGAGAGGCAGACAUCUUUCCGACUGUUAGCGCCAAGCUACACGCACCGCAACAACACUUCCGGCCCUCGCUUUCAAAAUAAUGGUCAGGAUGAACGUCAGAAGCGGCUCCGAGAGCGUCCAGCUUUCCAGGUUCAUCACAUCUGAUUUUCAGCCGAGCUUCAGACCUUUCUGCUCUUUAGGCAAAGGGUGAAUUUCAGCCGGUCCCAACACAUCCACUGGAGACGACCUUCGUGGCACGGUGGGACAGUGUUCAGCCUCAGCUGACAUCGGGUCUCCAGAAAAAGGGGGGUGUCGCCGGCCAGAAACGAGCCAAACAUGUGCAGAUCUUACAGGAGGACCGGAAUGAUGGUGGAGGACUUGAGGCACUCAGGAACCGUAGACAGCUGCAG